AACGACUCUCGGCAACGGAUAUCUCGGCUCUCGCAUCGAUGAAGAACGUAGCGAAAUGCGAUACUUGGUGUGAAUUGCAGAAUCCCGUGAACCAUCGAGUCUUUGAACGCAAGUUGCGCCCCAAGCCUUCUGGCCGGGGGCACGUCUGCCUGGGUGUCACAAAU
rnacentral:rRNA from 1 species